UACGUAGGGCGCAAGCGUUAUCCGGAAUUAUUGGGCGUAAAGAGCUCGUAGGCGGUUUUGUCGCGUCUGCCGUGAAAAGUCCGGGGCUCAACUCCGGAUCUGCGGUGGGGUACGGGCAGACUAGAGUGAUGUAGGGGGAGACUGGAAUUCCUGGUGUAGCGGUGAAAAUGCGCAGAUAUCAGGAGGAACACCGAUGGCGAAGGCAGGUCUCUGGGCAUUAACUGACGCUGAGGAGCGAAAAGCAUGGGGGAGCGAACAGG
rnacentral:rRNA from 1 species